rnacentral:rRNA from 1 species
UACGUAGGGUGCAAGCGUUGUCCGGAAUUAUUGGGCGUAAAGAGCUCGUAGGCGGUUCGUCGCGUCGGCUGUGAAAACCCGGAGCUCAACUCCGGGCCUGCAGUCGAUACGGGCGGACUUGAGUGUUGCAGGGGAGACUGGAAUUCCUGGUGUAGCGGUGAAAUGCGCAGAUAUCAGGAGGAACACCGGUGGCGAAGGCGGAUCUCUGGGCCUGUCCUGACGCUGAGGCGCGAAAGCUAGGGGAGCGAACAGG